GAUGAACGCUGGCGGCGUGCCUAAUACAUGCAAGUCGAGCGAACAGACGAGGAGCUUGCUCCUCUGACGUUAGCGGCGGACGUGUGAGUAACACGUGGAUAACCUACCUAUAAGACUGGGAUAACUUCGGGAAACCGGAGCUAAUACCGGAUAAUAUAUUGAACCGCAUGGUUCAAUAGUUAAAGACGGUUUUGCUGUCACUUAUAGAUGGAUCCGCGCCGCAUUAGCUAGUUGGUAAGGUAACGGCUUACCAAGGCAACGAUGCGUAGCCGACCUGAGAGGGGGAUCGGCCACACUGGAAGGGAGACACGGUCCAGAGUACUACGGGAGGAAGCAGUAGGGAAUAUUCCGCAAUGGGCGAAAGCAUGACGGAGCAACGCCGCGUGAGAGAUGAAGGUCUUCGGAUCGUAAAACUCUGUUAUUAGGGAAGAAAAAAUGUGUAAGUAACUAUGCACGUAUUGACGGUACCUAAUCAGAAAGCAACGGCUAACUACGUG
rnacentral:rRNA from 1 species